ensembl:lncRNA LINC00662 long intergenic non-protein coding RNA 662
AAGACACCACCCCAGCCAGCAUGGCCGGCAGGAGCGCACCGCGCUGUCUCCCUCCAGGGAUCCGCACCGCCCUACAAUCCUGCUUUGUGCUGAGAUUGUAGUCCUGCAGGCGUACAACUAACAAGCUGGGUGCAGAUAAGAGACUACAGCUCCCCGCAUCCCAAGCAAAGGUCCCUCCUCUACGGAGCCCCUCCACGCGUCCACUGCGGUUCCGCCGUGCCAAGGGGAGCUUGGCUGUUCACGGGCCUCACCUGCUAGCGAGAAGAUAGCUUGGCCGGGCGGCUGAUCUCACCUUGUAAUUCUGACACUGUGUCUCCCGGGCUUGUCGGCUUCAUGACUUGUGCCCAAAGUUUGAUUUCUCGCAGACCAGGAGGACCCAUUGGACCCCCGGGCUGGCUGCAGGGCCCACACCUGGGUUAGACCUCGCACAGGGACGCUGCUGCCACUGUAAUAAAGCGUGCCUACACGCUUCUGAAACUGGUGUAGGAACAACCUCAGUUCUGUGAAAGGCGGACGCAGCAGGACAGAAUCUCCGUGGACAUCUGUCUGGAGGAGCAAUUUUACUGCGACAUUUUAAAGAAACAAAUUUAAUUGAUUUCCAAGGGUGUCCAUCGCGCUUCCUUCACUGCCUUGAUCAUGUCGGGGUCACCACCUGCGGGGGUUUGUCCUGCAGACCCUGACUCAACGACGGAUGAAUAAUGUACACUGACACAGAUCUUAUGCUUGUCAGUCCUGCUGAGCAUCCAGGCCACUUACAGACUCCAAGAAGAGUCCUGUCAGCCACGGCUCUGACUUGUUGGCCCUCCCGGCAUUUAUUUAGCACACAUUUAAUGACAGAAGUCUCAGGCUGGAAACACUCUUUUUGUAGAACAUACAAAUGGACAUUUCUAAGCACAUUGAGGCCUAUAAUGAAAAAUCAAAUAUCCCACAAUGAAAACUAGAAGGAAGCUAUCUGUGAUAAUGCUUUGUGGUGUAUGGAUUCAUCUCACUGACUGAAACCUGAGUUUUGAUUCACCAGGUUGGAAACACUCUUUUUGUAGAAUGUAUGAAGAGAUAUUUCUGAGGCCUGUUGUGAAAAACUGAGGUUUCCACAAGAAAAACUGGAAACAAGUUAUCUGAGAAAAUGCUUUAUGAUGGGUGAAUUCAUCUCACAAAAUUAAACCUUCGUUUUGAUUCAAAAGGUUGGAAACACUUUUACUGUAUUAUCUAUGAAGAAACGUUUUUGAGGCCAUUAAGUCCUACACUGAAAAACUGAAUAUACUGCAUUAAACAUUCUAAAGAAGCUAACUGUGAAAAUGCUUUGCAAUGUGUGUAUUUAUCUCACAGAGUUAAACCAUUGUUUUGAUUCAUCAGUUUGGAAACAGUUUCUUUGUAGAAUCUAUGAAGGGACCUUUCAGAGGCCAUUGAGGCCUAUAAUAAAGAAACAAAUAUCCCACAAUAAAACAAGAAACAUAUAGAAACAA